rnacentral:rRNA from 1 species
AAUCAACGCUGGCGGCGUGCCUCAGACAUGCAAGUCGAACGAUUAAGACUUCCUUCGGGAAGUGUAUAAAAGUGGCGCACGGGUGAGUAACACGUAAGUAAUCUACCUUCGAGUGGGGAAUAACGUUCGGAAACGAACGCUAAUACCGCAUAAUGCAGCGGCAUCGCAAGAUGACAGUUGUUAAAGGAAUUUAUUUCGCUUGAAGAGGAGCUUGGCGGCAGAUUAGCUAGUUGGAAGGUAACGGCUUACCAAGGCUACGAUCUGUAUCCGGUCUAAGAGGACGGUCGGACA